AGAGUUUGAUUAUGGCUCAGGAUGAACGCUGGCGGCGUGCCUAACACAUGCAAGUCGAACGAAGCAUAAUGGACGGAGAUUCGUCGAAGACUGUUAUGACUUAGUGGCGGACGGGUGAGUAAUGUAUGAGCAACCUGCCUUUCAGAGGGGGACAACAGUUGGAAACGACUGCUAAUACCGCGUAACGUAUCGAGGAGGCAUCUCCCUGAUACCAAAGGAGCAAUCCGCUGAAAGAUGGGCUCAUAUCUGAUUAGCUAGUUGGCGGGGCAACGGCCCACCAAGGCGACGAUCAGUAGCCGGACUGAGAGGUUGAACGGCCACAUUGGGACUGAGAUACGGCCCAGACUCCUACGGGAGGCAGCAGUGGGGAAUAUUGGGCAAUGGGCGAAAGCCUCGACCCAGCAACGCCGCGUGAAGGAAGAAGGUCUUCGGAUUGUAAACUUCUUUUAUGAGGGACGAAGGACGUGACGGUACCUCAUGAAUAAGCCACGGCUAACUACGUGCCAGCCGCUGC
rnacentral:rRNA from 1 species